rnacentral:lncRNA from 1 species
AUGGUUUCUGACCGUUUCGUCUUAUGAUUCAUAAUAUUUGGUCCUAGUACAUUUUGUAUGGCUCUAAUUCCCAGCGUUUCACUUCUAUUUUUUUGUUUUGUCGGCUUUACAUUGAAAUAAUGUUUUUUACUGCUGCGUAUCGCCUUCGUUACUCCUUUCCUCUAGUAUUAAUCGAAAGAUAUAUAUGAGACACUCUUCAAUUCAAAGCUAUGAUAGAUAACGAAAAUGUAAUGACAAUAAUUACUGAAUCAUCCAGAUUGUAUAAUGUGUUCUCUAAGAUAAAUUGCAUUCGACCUGUCUAAAAGCACG